AGAGUUUGAUCCUGGCUCAGGAUGAACGCUAGCGACAGGCUUAACACAUGCAAGUCGAGGGGCAGCGGGGGCGUAGCAAUAUGCCUGCCGGCGACCGGCGCACGGGUGAGUAACACGUAUGUAACCUGCCCUAUGCAGGGGGAUAACCCGGAGAAAUCCGGCCUAAUACCGCGUAACACCUUAGGGGAGCAUUCUCUUGAGGUUAAAGGAGAGAUCCGGCAUAGGAUGGACAUGCGUCGCAUUAGGUAGACGGCGGGGUAACGGCCCACCGUGCCGACGAUGCGUAGGGGUUCUGAGAGGAAGGCCCCCCACACUGGUACUGAGACACGGACCAGACUCCUACGGGAGGCAGCAGUGAGGAAUAUUGGUCAAUGGCCGAGAGGCUGAACCAGCCAAGUCGCGUGAGAGAAGAAUGUCCUAAGGAUUGUAAACCUCUUUUGUCGGGGAGCAAAAAGGCUCUGCGGAGUCGUAUUGAGAGUACCCGAAGAAAAAGCAUCGGCUAACCCCGUGCCAGCAGCCGCGGUAAUACGGAGGAUGCGAGCGUUAUCCGGAUUUAUUGGGUUUAAAGGGUGCGCAGGCGGCGUGUCAAGCAAGCGGUAAAAUAGCGGGGCUCAACCCCGUCGAGCCGUUUGAACUGGCGCGCUUGAGUUCAGGCGAGGUAGGCGGAAUUCGUGGUGUAGCGGUGAAAUGCAUAGAUAUCACGAAGAACUCCGAUUGCGAAGGCAGCUUACCAGUCUGCGACUGACGCUCAGGCACGAAAGUGUGGGUAUCGAACAGGAUUAGAUACCCUGGUAGUCCACACAGUAAACGAUGAGCGCUAGGUGUCCGGGUCGCAUGAGACUUGGGUGCCCGAGCGAAAGCGUUAAGCGCUCCACCUGGGGAGUACGCCGGCAACGGUGAAACUCAAAGGAAUUGACGGGGGCCCGCACAAGCGGAGGAACAUGUGGUUUAAUUCGAUGAUACGCGAGGAACCUUACCCGGGCUCAAACGACUCAGGAAUAUAUUGGAAACGAUGUAGCCAGCAAUGGUCUGAGUCGAGGUGCUGCAUGGUUGUCGUCAGCUCGUGCCGUGAGGUGUCGGCUUAAGUGCCAUAACGAGCGCAACCCCUACCGCCAGUUGCCAACGGGUAAAGCCGGGAACUCUGGCGGGACUGCCGGCGCAAGCUGCGAGGAAGGCGGGGAUGACGUCAAAUCAGCACGGCCCUUACGUCCGGGGCGACACACGUGUUACAAUGGCAGGUACAGCGGGAAGCCACCUGGUGACAGGGAGCGGAACCCGAAAGCCUGUCUCAGUUCGGAUUGGAGUCUGCAACUCGACUCCAUGAAGCUGGAUUCGCUAGUAAUCGCGCAUCAGCCAUGGCGCGGUGAAUACGUUCCCGGGCCUUGCACACACCGCCCGUCA
rnacentral:rRNA from 1 species